AGCACUGCGCGCGCACCUCCAAGCUUUUCCUAUCCGUUCUAACCAGCCGUUCCGUGUACCGACCAGGCCGUGCCGAGUGCAACUAUCCACAGCACUAGCGAGCUCAGCUAGCAAGUAAUCUGGUUUCUACUGUACGUCAACUUGCCUACUGCAGCUCCAACCUUGAUCCGGUCGGUGGCUUCCUUUCAAUAUAUUCCAUUUUACUUGUGUACUUGUUUUCACCGGUCCUAUGGAACAUGAGCAUUGGAGGAACAGAGAAAUACCACGGAGAACUUUCGCCAUUAUAACUGUUGUGCUAGCCAAGACUUGAAUGCGGGACCUACAGCAACUAAGCUGAAGUGCUAACUAUCGUUGCGAACCUUAUUGUCGUAACAGAUUGAUUUCUGGACAAAUACAAUUAAACCUGAAAGUUUCUAUUUCAUUAAAUAAUCUUACGAAAACAG